rnacentral:lncRNA from 1 species
AUAAAAAGGUUAGAGGAGGAAAUUUCUCAAAAGAAUCAAUAGAAAGGUGGUGGCGGAGGCGAAGCAUAUGAGACUCCAAACACUGGUGGCAAUGGCCCCUCGUACACUGGUGCUGGAGGCGGUGGACUUUCAUAAACAAUUGGCGGCGGUGGAGUAUACUGGUGGCGGCGGCGGUGGUGGUGAAAGAACUGGCGGAGGAGGUGGAGGUGACGGUGAUGGUGGUGGUGGCGGCGGUGGUGGUUGCGGUACUACAACUGGUGGUGGUGGUGGUGAAAUAACUGGCGGAGGAGGUGGAGGUGAGGGUGAUGGUGGCGGCGGUGAUUGCGGUAUUACAACUGGUGGUGGUGGUGAGGGCACCGGCAUUGGUGGAGAUGGGGGAGGUGGCGGCGGCAAGGUAGGAACAAAGGGUUUACAUUUAAAUGAAGAACAAUCCACGCGCUUGGACAGGAAUGACUUACAUUGCGCUGAAGACCUCUGUGCUGGCCUUGCUGGCAAGCAAUUCCUCCUGUCAUCAAAAGCUUGUAAGCUCAAGCAAACCGGCGGCUCCCCGGUGAAGAAAUUGUACGAGAAUGUGAAGUUCUGCAAGUUAGGCAGCCGACAAAUGCUCGCCGGGAUUGUGCCAGAGAGCAUGUUGUGAGCCACAUUGAGCUGUUCCAAGCUCACCAUUCUUCCAAUCGUGUCCGGCAAAGGACCCAGAAGCUGA